GAGACCGGGGAGGGAGCCCCGAGUAGCAGCGAGCAGCACGGGGUGGGACUGGCCAACCGGAUACUCAGAUUGGACCGUUUAACAUUUUCUUUUUUAUGGGUUUAAACGUUAACACCGGAGUCAACGAGACACACAAUGCGACAGUCUGGUUAGGGAGAACUUGCAGGCUUCGAAUCUCGUCGAAACCUCUGGAACUGUCAGAAAAAAUUGAUUGAGAGUUAAGGUGUGGCUGAGGGUUUUCUUUAAGGCUUCUGCACUGAAAAUUGUUACAAACCGGCUGUUUCUACUCGAGUGUUCAGUGAGGGCUGAGGUUCUUUUGUAUCCCAAUGGCUUUAUAAAUUAUAUUCAGUCAUUUACAUCUAGGACGAUAUUACAUAACACACGUAUUGCUAUCUUGGCGUGCGCACCUUUUGCCUUAAAUCCCUCAGUUGAAUAAUUGGACUAUUACGCAGUAAAUGAGUAAGUCGAUUGUUUUUUACUGCUUGGCUGGUCGUUUUGGUUUCAUAAGUUAAAUGCAACGGACGUGGCAACUUUACAGUAGCCGGUCCUGCAGAAUGCCACAGGCAAACUGGGCGUGGGGGAAACCGUCCGAAGAGAGCGUAAUAACCCUCAGAUCUCGUCCAAGCACGGCACAAUUUGCGCAUAUUUGACAUAGUGUAGGCGUACUGACAAGUGGAGCCGAGGGAUUUACCUGUACCAAAUGUCUCCAGGUGCCCACAGUAGAUGUUCUGGUCUUCAAACCAACUUUAGUUCACCGCAGCAGGAUCUACCUCCAGGAAUCUACAGAGGUGUGAAUUAAUGGAGAUGUGUUACACCUGUGCCACUAAACCUGGGUGGCUUGUACCUGUACCUGUGCCAGCUGCUGUGCCAGCUGUGCAGGAAGAGUAAGCAGAACAACAUCAGAGAAAUAGAUAAAGACAGCUGCUGCAAACAGAGAGACGAAGGAGCAUCAUCAAAGGAGCGCUGAGUCAACCCACAGACCAUCAAUCAUAAUAUAUUUAUUGUUUGCUUGGCUGUUUUACAGCAUUUAAAAUUUGAAUUAAAGCAAGAUGAUGUACAGUAGGAGGCAUUAUUUUUGUGAUUUAGCACCCGUAGAGUUCCAGAGUGCAGUUCAGUCAUACCCAGUGUCGUAAAUAUGAAAAGCUGUAACGCCAGUUUUGUUAUGGUCCUUUUAUGAUCAGAGACUAGCCAGUCAACAACUUUUCUAGUACAACCAAUGAUAGUGCAACAUAACAAGCCAUAGCAAGUCAGUUACUUCCCUAGCUUCACUCCCAAACGCUGAACGACCAGUAUUGGCAGCACGGCUUAUUGAGCUAACUACAUAAGAUGACAAUAGCUACUGUUAGCAGCAGUUAGUUGUAAGCAUUACUUAAGCAAAACGUUAGUUUUCUACAUUAAUUGUGAUCCACUCUUACCAAAAUCAAGUCAGCGCUGUAAUGACACACUUGUUUCAGGAGGUUAUAAGCUUUCAGGGCUGAAUGUGCGAAGACACAGACACCAUUUCCUAUUACAAAUCAGUGAACCAUCAAAUUGAUUUGAAACUAUUAUUUGAAGGUAAAACUGUUUAUUAUCUGUAUGUCGCAGUCCUAGUGUAUGUCUUUUAAUUACAAAUAAUCGUGUGCUCUUGUCUUUAUCGAUUUUCAGCUUUUUUCUCAAAUAAAAAACGUAUUGAUUUCCA